AAACUUUCAACAACGGAUCUCUUGGUUCUGGCAUCGAUGAAAAACGCACCGAAAUGCGAUAAGUAAUGUGAAUUGCAAAAUUCAGUGAAUCAUCAAAUCUUUGAACGCACAUUGCGCCCGCCAGUAUUCUGGCGGGCAUGCCUGUUCAAGCGUCAUUU
rnacentral:rRNA from 1 species